rnacentral:rRNA from 1 species
GAUGGACGCUGGCGGCGUGCCUAAUACAUGCAAGUCGAGCGAACGGACGAGAAGCUUGCUUCUCUGAUGUUAGCGGCGGACGGGUGAGUAACACGUGGAUAACCUACCUAUAAGACUGGGAUAACUUCGGGAAACCGUAUCUAAUACCGGAUAAUAUUUUGAACCGCAUGGUUCAAAAGUGAAAGACGGUCUUGCUGUCACUUAUAGAUGGAUCCGCGCUGCAUUAGCUAGUUGGUAAGGUAACGGCUUACCAAGGCAACGAUGCAUAGCCGACCUGGGAGGGUGAUCGGCCGCACUGGAACUGAGACACGGUCCAGACUCCUACGGGAGGCGGCAGUAGGGAAUCUUCCGCAAUGGGCGAAAGCCUGACGGAGCAACGCCGCGUGAGUGAUGAAGGUCUUCGGAUCGUAAAACUCUGUUAUUAGGGAAGAACAUAUGUGUAAGUAACUGUGCACAUCUUGACGGUACCUAAUCAGAAAGCCACGGCUAACUACGUG